GAUGAAGAACGUAGCGAAAUGCGAUACGUAAUGUGAAUUGCAAAUUCAGUGAAUCAUCGAGUCUUUGAACGCACAUUGCGCCCCCUGGUAUUCCGGGGGGCAUGCCUGUCCGAGCGUCAUUGCUGCCCUCAAGCACGGCUUGUGUGUUGGGCCCCGUCCUCCGAUCCCGGGGGACGGGCCCGAAAGGCAGCGGCGGCACCGCGUCCGGUCCUCGAGCGUAUGGGGCUUUGUCACCCGCUCUGUAGGCCCGGCCGGCGCUUGCCGAUCAACCCACAUUUUUAUCCAGGUUGACCUCGGAUCAGGUAGGGAUACCCGCUGAACUUAAGCAUAUCAAUAAGCGGAGGA
rnacentral:misc_RNA from 1 species